CACUUACUUCAUCACCUCCUAAUGCAAUCUGACAUUCCAAACAAUUAUGGCAUGAGCAAAAGUAUGACAAUCACUGCCAGCACUAAUAUGAUGUUUGGGAUUAUUAAAUAGUGUGCUCACCAUAUCUUGCAAAUAUAUCAUGUCCAUGCUGCAGCUUCUAGUAGAUGCAAAAAUGAUCUUCCUGUGAGUAGCUAACUGGAGCUGCCUAAAUCCACAGAAGUAUACAGCGGAACAAAUUCAGCCAGUGAAUCCAUCACGGUGAGGUGGUUGCUGCUGGUGCUGAAACUGAAAGCACAGGGGAUGCGCGCCUGCGUAAGCCGCCACCCGUUUGACACGAUGAUGCAUCAUGCUGGCGCUGCGCGGCUGGACCAGAUCACGUCAAUUGACAACAUGAGGCUCUUUAUGGACAAUUUCACAAACACAUUGCAUACAAGACGAGAUGCUGGAGAUAAAACGACAGCUUAGCGUGGUGAUAGGGGUUACCAGCGUCUAGCGCUCCAACCGUUCGGGACGGGGUUUGCCUUGCUGAGGAUGAUGGCGGCGGCAGCGGCGGCGCGGAGGCCGGCCGUCACGCCGGCGUCACGGCAGACGACGGAGCCGAGCAGCGCGAACGACCCGGCCGUCGUGUUCAGCCGGUCGCGCUUCACGAUGUUGUCCUUGAGGAUGGGGACGCCGUGGAGCGGCCCGCAGUAGCUGUGGCCAGAGGCGUGCUCGGUGUCGGCGCGCGCCGGCUGCUGGAGCGCGUCGGAGUUGACCUCGAUCUCGAUGACGGCGUGGAGAAGCGCGUUGAGGCGGGUGAUCUUGCCCUGGGGACGAGCAGACAGGGCUGAGGCACCGCCGCACCGACGACGUCGUCGGCCGUGGCGGGCGCCGGGAUCUGCUGUGGAGAAGCUGCGAUGACUGGAGAGAUUGGAUCGGUAUGUUCAGGAGUAAGGAGAUGGGUUUUGUUUUCUCUAUUAGGAUCAUAACUGCUUCCGAUAGUGGAGAAGAAAACCCGGCAAAUUGAGGGAGGAAAAAAGCGUACAAACACAAAAAUUUGGAGCAAACCCGCGGCAAAAUCAGUUUUAUGUGUUUCUCUUUUUCAGGCACAAUAGAACUAGAUUGAUGGAAAUCUGACAGGGUGGACCUAUAAAGAAAUAAAUUAGUAGUAGUUUUAUUUGGAAUUCUAUAAAGUUUUAAUAAUUUUGUACUCACCUUAUCAAUAAAUUAGUUUAAUCCAUGUUAAUGAAACAAAAUCUUCCCCUCUAUAACAAAUAAUAGCCUAUUACAUUUCAUAUACAAUGUUAUUUAUAAUGUGCGGAAAAUAAAAUUUUACGGAAAAGUAUAUGUAUCUUUUUUAUGUAAUAUGAUGAAUGAGAAUGGAAGGAGGCAAAGAGUGAUAAUAUCUUGUUAUUCCUUACUGCAAUGACAACGGCUGGCGACGCUCUCUAGGCACAACGGCAUGUAGAGGAUACUUGUCCAUAAGUAUGGGAUGCACAAUUAACUUCAUAUUGGCAGAAAUUUUAUUAAUUUUCUAAAGAAUUGAGAGGGUACUUUGACAAUGAAAUUUAAGUCAAAAUAUGCGAACCACAAGCAAGCUUCACUGAACUUGUGAAAAUCAUCUUCCAUCGAAUGCUACCUUUGUGUUUCGCACGUUUGUAGCCACGUGGCUUCUCUAGCUUACACGUAGGACGCUGAAGACAUAACACUAACUUAAAAGGACCGGUGUCUAAUAGAGACGGCUCUGGUUGGUUGUGAAAAGUAUAGGAAGUAAAAUAGUGAUAAGAUGUUUGGACUUGCACUUCAGGCUAUUUAUGAAGGUAGUCAGACUCGGAUAAACCAAUAGACGAUAAACUAAUUGAGAUAGCAUGGUAGAGCCAAAUAACAUAGAAUUAAAUUAAUGGAUGUGUUUACCAUUUACUACGUUCGAUCUAGAAAAUAUAUAAUGUUUUAGAAAAGUUUCUAUUAAAUUAUUAUAACUUUAAAUAAUAUCAACGAAAAUGAUAAGUUUGUGCAUAUAGCAAUGAUACAUGUACAUUUGUUUUGAAAGUAAUUUCUUAAUCUCAUAAACUUAUUACAUUUCUAUAAAUUUAUAUUUGGUUAAAGAAUUGUGAUCAAACUUCCAUCUCAAAAACAGUAAUGUAGAAGUAAAUCUCAUGUUACAUAUAUAAACAAAAUUAAAAUUACCUUAAUUUAAUACUUACAAGUGGACCAACUUUUUUAAAUUAUGGCCUCUCAUAGUUUUUAGACAAAGAAAUACCGUGCUAUUUUCAUGCGCAAUUUACAUAAAAAUACUUCCCGCCAAUCUCGACUUUCCGUCUAGAGACUGCCGCCAAAAUUUCACUUGUAACGAACCGGCUAAUUUAUCUCCACAUCUUCAGUUCACGAUAUAAUAAGACCCAACGCCCCCUACCCCAUCACCUCCUUAUUUCCAGGAGGAACCCAACAUCCCACGACUCAUCACCCGAGCAACCGAGGUCUGUGCUUCCCAUCUGCUGGCUGCUGCAAUCUCGUGUUAUCAACUACUCAGAUCCCGGCGACAAGAAAGGGGAGUCGGCUCGUCGCAGCCCCUACGGUGGCAGGUGGGCAGGGGAGAAAGGGGAGUUUCCGUCCGUGGAGCGGCAUCGAUCUCGUCAGGUGAGCCGCGUGAGCGAUGUCGAGGGACUACAGACGCCGGCGGCUUCGGAGGAGGGGGCGAGAAGGAGAUGCAAGAUCGAGACACAUCUGAUUGCUGGAGAGUCCAAACACAUCUGAUCACUGCAUCCUUCUUGUGUACGCAUGGAGUGGAUGGCUUGUUCUCUAUCACACAUAUGCACAUCAUGUGUUUGAUGAAAAGCUUCACUGUGUACUGUUGCAUGCCAACUCCGUAAAAGCAUAAUUUUGUCCUUAGACAGAUUAUUGAUGUUAUCUUCACAUCUCUCCAUACUUUUUCUGAUCACGCGAAAUUGCAAAAUUCUUAUGCCAACAUGAUCAUUCAUAAAAAAAAAAACCUAAAUCUGUGAAUUAGUAGUGCUUGAUUGCUUUCAGUUUCAUGAACACAUUGGGUGAUCACCAUCAACAGAACAACUUUUUAUGCAGCUAGCCAGUAUUUUCAAGGGGAUUAAGUUGUUGACUCUUUCAAGCAGGCAGUAUAUAUGGACCGAUUUGUUCGAUAAAAUCCAGUUAUGCCUGAUCAUUACUUAAAGGUCACAACUCACAACAGAGGGCCAAAAGAGCAAAACCAAUAUAAUACAAGUUGACUUCUUAUUGCAAACAAAUGUCAACUUGUUUGAUUAAAACACUAGCUUUGAACAAUAUUUUGGAUCAGCAUGUUGUGGUUUGUGCAUGGAAGUUCAAAAUAAGAUGUGCUAUGUCUAAACUUUGGGAACGAAAUCUUAAGGUACUAUUCUGCAUGUCAUCUAUUUUCUUCCAUGCCUUGUUAAGUAAAUCAAACAUAUUAUUGUCUAAUGAAGUUCUGAUACAAGAAACUAACACUGCAGCUUUAAGUGUAGAAAAUGAGGCAAAGCAACUCUAUAUCACUAUGUGUGCCUGCUUACGAGAUUGUAAAGAUGGAACCACAGGAGAAGAACUCACAGAGCACAUCACUUGGUGCAAGGUUUGCAAGAAUAUAUUUAAGAUGAAUGGGACACUACCACACUGGGGUUGCAAUGGUAUCAAAGAUUCAGAUGAUCAGUGGCUGAAUUCUGACAGUUGAAUGCCCACUUCAAGAUCUAAGAAAGAAGCGAAGGAAUUUGCGAAGAUGAUAUAUGAAUAGAUGUAUUGCACAAUUAUCUAGCAGCUUGCUGCUAAAAUGUGUAUUUUUUUCUUUUUAAAAGAUAUGCCUAUAAAUUUCUUUGUUACAAGAUGUAAACAAUAAUUCUGUAAAUUUCCUUAUUGCAAUGCAAUAUAUUAUGAUCAUUUCACUUCUUCA